rnacentral:lncRNA from 1 species
UGUCCACAUGUUUCUCAUUAGCAGCAGGCUGAGUGUGUGUUUCCCUAGUCCUCUUUCGGCGGGAGCAGUCCAGUGUCCAAUCAUAACUCUUCUGGGAAGUCAUUAGCUGUGUCCAGGAGCUAGAGAUGGAGCUCAGCUGAUAGGAAGCUUGACUUAACAUCCACAAAGCCACAGGCUCCAACCCCAGCACCAUGCAAGCCAAGGGCUAGGGUACACCCAUACCCCUAGAACUCCAGAGUCAGAAGGAUGAGAGGUUUAAGGUCAUUCUUGGUGACAUACUAAGUUUGAGGCCAACCUGAACUACAUGAGACCUUUCCACCAAGCCCAACCAGGUCAUCGAGAUGUCUCAGCAGACCCUUACUGGUGUUGAAGGUCUGUGCUGGCUUGGCAUGUGUAGGUUGAAAGUGUGCUCUGAGACACCCAGCAGAGGUGGGUUUUUGGGUAUCCCUGGCUGCCCUGGACUUUGCACUGCAGACCACACUGGCCUCUGACACCACCCAGGGGCAUAACUCCUGAUCUCAAAGUUUUCUGAGUGGAAGAUGUCAGCUACAGCAACCCGCUCUGUGAACUGUGAGGUGAGACAGGCCCUCAGAGCUCGCCCUGGAAGGACCCCUAUCCAAUGUGGUCCCCAUUGACAGGAAAUAGGGUGCACAGGAGCCUCUGCUUGUAGGAAUCUGGCUUUGCUCGGGUGGCAUACCAUGGGCUCCAGCUGGGUCUGUCAAGGUCACCUCCGCCACAUCACAGGGCCUCAUCAGCCAACCUCAGAAGCCUGGCGCAGGUGUUCAUAGAUUGAUCAGCUUUUUGUUCUUUGAGACAUGGUUCUGACGCUGUAGCCCAGGUUGGCAUCCACAUCACAACAAUUUCCUUUUGCCUCCCAGGUGUGCAGUUCACAGCCUUGCAGGCUUCUGAAUUAUGAAGAAAGGUUCCCUAUGGGCUUCCAGAUGUCCUGUGGAUAGAUGUCCUGCAGCUCUUUGUAGCAACAAGAGGCUAUGUUCUUGUCUCGACACUGAGGGCUUUUGUUCAUGAUGGUGGGCAGAUUGGAGGCAAUUUCAGGACAUGGCAGGUGUGUAACACUGAUGUGCCCACCUGUGUUGGGGAAAUUGCUCUCCUGAUUAGCUGGGGAAGCAAAGGCUCAGAGAGGCCUUUUCCCAGGAUCAGGCCAUCUGAAGAAAGCCAUUGGUCACUUCUAUGCAAGUGGGCCUCUUGUGAGGCCCAGGCUCACACCAAAGACCCUGGACUGGCCGAAGCAGAAGAGCCUGUCCUAAAGGCCUGGUUCCAACGCUUCCCGGUCAUGUGCUCACCGCUUCAUCCCUGUCUGCUGGUAGAGGGAUGCCACUGUAGCAAACAAGGGCAUACAGGUCCCUUGGGGGCGGGGUUAGAGAGAGGGCUCAGUGGUUAAGAACAUUGGUGGUUCUUGAAGAGGACCACAGUGUAGUUCCAAGUACCCGCCUGAUGGAUCCCAACCAUCUGUAACUCCAGUUUCAGGGGCUCAGGGGCUCUCUUCUGACUUCCUCAGGUACCAGGCACAUACAUGAUGGGAUGCAUAUACAUGCAUGCAUACAUACAUGCAUAUAUACAUACAUACAUACAUACAUACGUGCAUACACAGUGUACAUAUGUACAUACACACAUACAAAUAUAUAUACAUACAUAACAUGCAUACAUACAUACAUAUAUACAUACAUAAAUACAUACAUAUGUGCAAGCAAAACAUUUUUUAAAAAAANNNNNNNNNNNNNNNNNNNNNNNNNNNNNNNNNNNNNNNNNNNNNNNNNNNNNNNNNNNNNNNNNNNNNNNNNNNNCGGAUGGUUGUGAGCCACCGUGUGGUUGCUGGGAUUUGAACUCAGGACUUUAGGAAGAACAGUCAGUGCUCUUACCCGCUGAGCCAUCUCGCCAGCCCAGCAAAACACUCUUAAAGUAAAAUUUAAAAAUCUAAAACAGGUCCCUUCCUGGGACAACUAGAUGUUGAGAAUUCAUGAGCACUAGUGCCCUGUGUUUCCUUCCUUCCUUCCUUUCCUUUUUUUUUUCUUUUUUUGAGACAUAGUUUCUUUUUAUAGCUCUUGCUGACCUGGACCUCUCUUUGCAGACCAAGCUGGUCUUGAACUCAGAGACUCACCUAUCUCUGCCUCUUGAAUGCUGGGAUUAAACAUGUGUGCCACC